rnacentral:rRNA from 1 species
UACGUAGGGUGCGAGCGUUAAUCGGAAUUACUGGGCGUAAAGCGUGCGCAGGCGGUUCGUUGUGUCGGCGGUGAAAGCCCCGGGCUUAACCUGGGAAUGGCCGUUGAAACUGGCGAACUGGAGUGUGGCAGAGGGGGGUGGAAUUCCGCGUGUAGCAGUGAAAUGCGUAGAGAUGUGGAGGAACACCGAUGGCGAAGGCAGCCCCCUGGGCCAACACUGACGCUCAGGCACGAAAGCGUGGGGAGCAAACAGG